UGCAAUCAUCCACCAGGAACGGUAUCACGCGAACAACGAGAUGUGCGCUGGGAAAGAUUGGAGGGAAUAGUAAAAGAUACUGGAUAUAAUAGUGUUUCUGAUACACGACAAGUAUAAUGUUUUUUUGGCGGAAGCAACACAGUGUAAAAGUUUUUGUUAGCGUUCUUUUUAAAUAUUAAAGUAAAGCACGUUAUAAAUUGCAGUCUGCUUUUGCCGGUGUAUGCCUUAAUGAGAUGAUUUGCAGUCUUAAACUGUACAAUUAUAAAUUGUAACGAUUUGGCAUGGCGGUUUCUUUAAUUCCCUUGGAUUGUGACAUCAGUUGUCCAUCCAGCAGUAAGAAUGUAACCGAGCAGAUCCCUGUUUGGAGUGAUGACAAGAUAAGGAACCUUUGGUCGUCUUUACUGAAUCUAGAGUUAGUGUCUAAGUGCUGUGAAGAUGAAGAGCUGCAGGGGAUUUUGUUACUUCUGGAGACCACCUUCAGUGUCUUCAAAAAGCUGAAGAAAAAAUGUAAUGAAGCAGAAUCAGCAUAUCAGAUUGUGAAGCAGGACUUAGAAUCAACUAAAGAGGAGAUCUGUCAAAUGGAAGAGGAUCUAAAAUGUCGUAAGACAGUAGUUUGUGAACGCUGCCCAGAAUUGGCUAAGGAACUUGGAGCCCAGAAGAAAAAAUUGGAGUACAAUGAGAACCGCAUCAAAUCAAUUGUUUCUAUAUUGAGCAUAAACAAUAGCUCUGAAGAUUCGGAGAGAAAUCUACCAUCAGGUCAAAAAACUGCUGUUGAUAAGGCAUAUGAUCUUGUAUCUCAAAUGUUAUUGGAGAAUGAUAACAUUGACUUGGAAAAAGAUAAACAUCUUGGUGUAAAAAGUGGGAUUAAACGACUCGAGCAUGAUAGAACUGAAAGUCCACGGAUGAAGUCACCGGGCAAAAAGAGAAAGAAACGAAACAAAGACCCAGCAAAAGUAGAUAUAUUAAACACAAAAGACAGAGAGAGUGACACUGAAACUUUAUAUUAUGGGGCCACUUUGGCUCCAGAAUCAUCUUGUAAUGAAAGGGUUAUGUGUUCAGUUGCAGAAAAAGAAAUGGUUCCUGAAAUUCUUUGCUCUCAGUAUCCCGUUAAGUCCAGUGAUAUGGAGGAAAGUUUGCCACAGCUUAGCAUUGUAAAUAUAAAUGAAAAGAUGGAUAACAUACAAACUACACCAAAAAAACCGAUGUUACAGGAGAAGAUAACUCGACGAUCUAGUCCAAUUUUAGGCAGCUGCAAUAGAAAGUCCAUGCAUAAAACUACACAUUGUAAUAAUUAUAACGUGCCAAUUGUAGACAGCCCAGGCAACAAUCCUGUGACAUUGAAAACUUUCAUACCCAGUGGUAAAUCAGAUAACUGUGAUACUGGUUCAAGUCUGCAGAGUUACAAAGAUGUUGCCAAUAGGAGCCCAUCCUUACUGAAGAUUGAAGCAGCAAAGUCAGAUUCAAUUGUAGUAGAUGUACAUAAAGUGGAAGAUAACAGUCAAGAAAGAAAAAAUGAGAAACAUGAACAGAAUGUUUUAUGUGCUGCGGAUGAUAACCAAGAAAGCAUGAAGAAUAUUCAAGCAGACUUUUGGAAAUUGAAGCCUAUACCUAAUGUGAAUAUUAAUAUGAAAAACUGCAGUGAUGUUGGCAAUCGUAAAUUGAAGCAGACUACUCUUUCAGUUGCUUCUUUUUCAAAGAAACACGAUCUUUGUAGACUCAAAGAGUUCAACGGAGGGGUGAGGCAGAGUAGCUCAUUAGCUGAUCAAAUCAGUGGUAUCUCUAGAGAAGAAACUUCUGUUAGACGGGCUGCUCAGGAUUCAUUGGACGAAAAGGAGAAUACAGAAUCUGUUUUAUCAGAGAAUAAAUGCCCUGGAGUGAGACAUCUAAGGACUGAUUCUGCUGAAGAUGAUGAUUUUGUACUAAAAAGUCCUGAUGUAUCGCACUCUCGGACAUUGCCAAGACGAAAGUGUAAUUAUGUCAGAGACAGGCCUCUUAUUAGCAGGAAGGGUGAUGGUACAGCAAUAAAUAUAAGUCCAAGAAAGAAACAAAUUCAGUCUUCAGCUGGAAGGAUGGAUAUCGACGAGACUUUUUUUGUUCCUUUGUACACCAGCACCCUGCAGGAUGGUGCUUAUGGUAGCAGAGAAAUUAAGAGAGUACCUGAAACUGAAGAAUUGUCUUGUGAACAGAAUUUCAAAGAGGCAUACCAUCCUUCUGAAAUGAAAAACAGAAAAGUAACAGAACUGAACAAGAAACAUGACUGUAGUUUUGACAGGAUUCCAGAAAAAAUAUCUACAAGCCCAAAUUACAAAUAUCGACGAGAUGCUGUGCGUAACAGAGACGCACGACGAAGGCUUGAUGGUUGGGAAUGUGAGCAGUGCAAAAAUUAUUAUGCUGUUGCCAAUGGUGCAGAUCCGACGGAACUGAAACGUCACCUCAAACAGUGCUCCAGGCAUCGUGACAAAUAUUCUAUCCAAUCCAGCACCCCUCCAGGAUAGGAACUGCUGGAGGGCUCUUGUGAACACAGUAAUGAACCCUCGGGUACCAUAAACGCUGGGAAGGCUCAACUUUGUGAUGUCCAGAUUGCUUUGGGUCCACCCAGCCUAUCCAAUGGGUACCGGGGCUCUUCCCAUGGGGGGGAAAGCGGGUUGAGCGUGAAGAUGGCCACUCACCUCAUCAAGUGCUAAGGUUAAUACACAAAGCUAUACCUAUGCUCUCCCAUACGUCUUCAUAGCUUGGUGCUGAUUUAAGCACAGGGACAACUUUAACUUAGAGCCUUAAUCAUUAUGAAUGUAGCAUGAGGGAUCUGAGAAAUACAUGCAGAAUUUUCUUUGGAAAAUUGAAGAGGAGAGACCACUUGAUGGGAAUAAGAUAUAUUAAGGAAAUUUGGUGUGGAUGGGAUAAUCUAACUUGGGAUAGGGUCCCAAGUAGGAGGUUCUUACGAACAUAGUAAUAAAUUUUCAGGUUUCAUAAGAAAUGGGCCAUUUCUGGACCACCUGAAGAACCAUUAGUUUCUCAUGGACACUGAUGUAUUUGCAGUAAAGUUCACUUUAUAGGAUUUGAGGUUCUCACAGAGGUGGUUAUGAAGAGUUAUAUCUUCUGGGAUAUGUCAUGUAGUCCGUUGAAA